UACAGAGGGGGCAAGCGUUGUUCGGAAUUACUGGGCGUAAAGGGCGCGUAGGCGGCCUUCUAAGUCGAACGUGAAAUCCCCGGGCUCAACCCGGGAACUGCGUCCGAUACUGGAAGGCUUGAAUCCGGGAGAGGGAUGUGGAAUUCCCGGUGUAGCGGUGAAAUGCGCAGAUAUCGGGAGGAACACCAAUUGCGAAGGCAGCUCGCUGGGACGUAACUGACGCUGAGACGCGAAAGCGUGGGGAGCAAACAGG
rnacentral:rRNA from 1 species